GGUGAGAUACUCCCCCCCCCCAAGGGUUUAGGGAUGCAGACCUUGCAACUUUCCAUUAUUAAAACACAGAGUGCACCAGGUGAUUAUAAUGAACCCGACCCUCUCAUUCAGAAUCGGCCUGCACAGGACAAGUCGGAUUUUAGGCAUCCCCUGCGAUAGGAAUUUUUUCGUUUUGGUUGAGAUUCCCCCCCCCUCCCCCCAAGGGUUUAGAGAUGCAGACCUUGCAACUUUCCUCAUUAACACACAAAGUGCACCAGGUGAUUAUAAUAAGCCCGACCCUCUGAUUCAGAAUCGGGCCGCACAGGACAUGGUGGAACAAACAGCUCUUUCUUCAGAGGAACCAAAUUUUGGGGAUCUGCUAAAAAAUAUUUUAUAUUCCUUGUGUUUUAUUAUCAAGAAAAGUGGAGUUACUCUUUUUAAUCGUCAGGAAUGCAGCUCCAAACUUGCAAAUGGAUAUUUUCCCCCGAAGUCUGCGCUAAGAUACAAGUCAGAUUUUAGGCAUCCCCUGCAAUAGGAAUUUUUCCGUUUUGGUGAGAUUCCCCUCCCCCCAAGGGUUUAGGGAUGCAGACCUUGCAACUUUCCUCAUUAAAACACAAAGUGCACCAGGUGAUUAUAAUGAACCCGACCCUCUCAUUCAGAAUCGGGCCGCACAGGACAUGGUGAAACAAACAGGAACCAAAUUUUCCGGGAUCUGCUACAAUUUUUGUUCUAUUCCUUGUGUUUUAUUAUCAAAAGUGGAGUUACUCUUUAAUCGUCGUCAGGAAUGCAGCUCCAAACUUCCAAAUGGAGAUUUUCCCCAGAAGUCUGCGCUAAGAUACAAGUCAGAUUUUAGGCAUCCCCUGCAAUAGGAAUUUUUCAGUUUUGGUUGAGAUUCUCCCCCCCCCCCCCCCAAGGGUUUAGGGAUGCAGACCUUGCAACUUUCCUCAUUAAAACCGAGUGCACCAGGUGAUUAUAAUGAACCCGACCCUCUCAUUCGGAAUCGGGCCGCACAGGACACGGUGAAACAAACAGGAACCACAUUUUCGGGAUCUGCUUCAAAUUUUGUUCUAUUCCUUGUGUUUUAUUAUCAAGAAAAGUGGAGUUACUCUCUUUAAUCAGCAGGAAUGCAGCUCAAAACUUGCAAAUGGAGAUUUUCCCGGGAGUCUGCGCUAAGAUACAAUUCAAAUUUUAGGCAUCCCCUGCGAUAGGAAUUUUUCAGUUUUCUUGUACAAAGAGUUUUAUUGAAAAAGCACAUCAACAGAAAAAAAAGAAUACAAAAGAAAAAGCAGUGGUGGACACACUAUGAGCUAUCAUAUAAAGAACUGGAGGCAUCAGAAAAGUUAGUCCGUAGACCUGAGAUUGAUCCAGCCCCUAGGAAUCCAGAAGACCGGCGGAAUUUUUCAGUUUUGGUGAGAUUCCCCCCCCCCCCCCAAGGGUUUAGGGAUGCAGACCCUGCAACUUUCCUUUAUUAACACACAAAGUGCACCAGGUGAUUAUAAUGAACCCGACCCUCUCAUUCAGAAUCGGGCCGCACAGGACACGGUGAAACAAAACAGGAACCACAUUUUCCGGGAUCUGCUACAAAUUUUUGUUCUAUUCCUUUGUGUAAAACUAGUGGCGCCGCCGUGGCUACCAGAUCCGCGGACGCGUGUAUGAAAUCUGGGAUCCCUCGCAGCCAAUCAUAAUGUAGAUUUCAAGUAAAGACCAAAGAAGCUGAUGGUACAAAUCUCAAGCUGUUCCGUACAGCGGCAAGAGAAAAAGUAUGUGAACCCCUUGGAAUGAAUCUGAUCCUCCAUCCAAGUCACGUGAUCUGCUCGUGCUGAUAACACCCCAAACAAUUAUAAUCUCUCGUGUCUCUUUAUUAUUGAACACGCCCAUUAAACAUUCACAAUGCCAGAGGGGGGGGAUAAAGUAAGUGAACCCUUGGAGUUUAUGGUGGUACCGCCUUUGGCAGCAAUGACUUCAAGCAAGCGCUUUGGGUGGCUCUGGAUCAGACCUGCACAGGAGGACAUGUUUUUACCUUUUCCUUCUGCUCAGACACAUUUGUAGGAAUGUCUAGUGUGAGAGGCUCUCUGGAGGUCAUUCCAACAGCAUCUCUAUGGGAUUAAGGUCUGGCCCACUCCAAAAGGCGCAUUCUUCUUUUCCUGAAGCCGGCCUGUGGUGGAUUUUUCUUUGAUGGUUCGGGGUCAUUGUCUUGCUGCUUCAGCCGGAGGACAGCCACCCUGUGAUAUAUUUUGGUAAACUUGGGAAUUCAUUUUCCACUCAAUAUCAAGUAGACCAGGCCCCCGAGGAACCCAAAUCACGAUGCUGCCGCCACCAUACUUCACGGUUGGGAUGACGUUUGAUGUUGCAGAGGGGCUGAAGAAAAAAAAAAGAAAAAACAACACAAAAAACAACAUGAAGACACGAGAAAUAGAGCGCAAGAUGGAGAUGGUCCGGCUCCCCCUCCCCCACCAGACAACAGCGCUCUCUCCACCUAUAGAACAAAAAACACCAAAAAUCCAAAGUUCUAGGGGGGAUAAGAGGACCUGUCCCGGCGCUCACUGACCUGUACAGAACUCUUUGUGCACUCCCGCAAUGGCGGACGGGUCUUUAUCUUUCGUGUGGUGGGGGGGGGGCUGAAAAGUCGAUCUGAACUGAUGAAAUGAAGGGCGCGUGUACAGAACGCCAAGCCAUUUUUUUUUAGGGUUGGAUUGAGUAGGGAAAGGUUGAAAACGUAUCGAUUUAUUUGUUGCCGUGCGCAGAAAUCUCACUCCACUUCCUGUCCUGGAGAUGAACAGGAAGUGAGGCAAAAUUCCCCUCCCCCCAAUGGGGUAACGGGAACUCCACUCUUACCCGUCUCGGGGGAUACUAAAGUAGCAAAAUCUGAACUUUGCAUAUGAUGUAGCUUUGUGGUGGCAGUAGCUUUUUUUUUUUUCCUGUAAGAGCUUUAUUACCUUUUGAUCUUGGCAGUAAGUCUUUUUUUUUUUUUUUUAAGGAAGUUGAAAAAGUGCAAUUUGACCUUUUUUACACUGCGCCACCCACCGUGGUGCCAGUUCUGCUUCUCGUGCGAGUUGCCAAUUUACCGUUCCACAUUACAUUUAAAUGCUGCACUGAGUUUGGCGCCCCCUGGUGUGUUCCCAUGGUCCUGCAGGUAUAUCCAUCUAUCAUUUCUAUCCUGAUCUGAGGGUCCCCCGUUGCGAGACUGUCCGCCAGAUUUUAAAAUAAAUGCGAGUUGCCUUUUGAUGACAAUAAAUGUGUCAAUAUACUA